rnacentral:rRNA from 1 species
AGGACGAACGCUGGCGGCGUGCCUAAUACAUGCAAGUAGAACGCUGAAGAGAGGAGCUUGCUCUUCUUGGAUGAGUUGCGAACGGGUGAGUAACGCGUAGGUAACCUGCCUUGUAGCGGGGGAUAACUAUUGGAAACGAUAGCUAAUACCGCAUAACAAUGGAUGACUCAUGUCAUUUAUUUGAAAGGGGCAAAUGCUCCACUACAAGAUGGACCUGCGUUGUAUUAGCUAGUAGGUGAGGUAACGGCUCACCUAGGCGACGAUACAUAGCCGACCUGAGAGGGUGAUCGGCCACACUGGGACUGAGACACGGCCCAGACUCCUACGGGAGGCAGCAGUAGGGAAUCUUCGGCAAUGGGGGCAACCCUGACCGAGCAACGCCGCGUGAGUGAAGAAGGUUUUCGGAUCGUAAAGCUCUGUUGUAAGUCAAGAACGAGUGUGAGAGUGGAAAGUUCACACUGUGACGGUAGCUUACCAGAAAGGGACGGCUAACUACGUGCCAGCAGCCGCGGUAAUACGUAGGUCCCGAGCGUUGUCCGGAUUUAUUGGGCGUAAAGCGAGCGCAGGCGGUUUGAUAAGUCUGAAGUUAAAGGCUGUGGCUCAACCAUAGUUCGCUUUGGAAACUGUCAAACUUGAGUGCAGAAGGGGAGAGUGGAAUUCCAUGUGUAGCGGUGAAAUGCGUAGAUAUAUGGAGGAACACCGGUGGCGAAAGCGGCUCUCUGGUCUGUAACUGACGCUGAGGCUCGAAAGCGUGGGGAGCGAACAGGAUUAGAUACCCUGGUAGUCCACGCCGUAAACGAUGAGUGCUAGGUGUUGGAUCCUUUCCGGGAUUCAGUGCCGCAGCUAACGCAUUAAGCACUCCGCCUGGGGAGUACGACC